rnacentral:rRNA from 1 species
AUGAGUGACACCAAUUGCCCGAUAAUGAGUUGGAACGUGCGGGGCUUGAACUCACCGACCCGCCGAGAAGUAGUUUUGGAGACGACGGAGGCGCAUAAACUGGCCAUCCUCCGCCUGCAGGAAACAAAGAUCGACAAAUGGAGCAGGGCACUAGUUAGGGAAACCGGAGGAAUGCGGCUCGCCGACUGCGCCGUCCUCCCUGCCACGGGCACGAGGGGAGGCGUCACAAUCUUCUGCGACAAGAACGGUGUAGAGGUGCUCUUGCAGGCCGUUGGCUGCUUCUCCAUCACCUCCAAUAUCACCAUCAUCGCAAGCAGUGCUACGUUAUGGCUGGCGACAGUCUACGGGCCGGUCGACGACAGAAGGAAAAACGAUUUCCUGGCCGAGCUGGCGUGGGCUGCUCCGCCCUCAAAUGCUCCCUGGCUCAUCAACAGGGACUUCAACCUGAUCUAUGAGGCGCGCGACAAAAACAACACCAACAUAAACCGUAGGAUCAUGGGAAAAUUUCGAGCUAUGAUCGACGCGGCAGGGCUCAAGGAGAUCAAGUGCAAGAACAGAUGA